rnacentral:rRNA from 1 species
AGUGAACGCUGGCGGUAGGCCUAACACAUGCAAGUCGAACGGCAGCACAGUAAGAGCUUGCUCUUACGGGUGGCGAGUGGCGGACGGGUGUGGAAUACAUCGGAAUCUACUUUUUCGUGGGGGAUAACGUAGGGAAACUUACGCUAAUACCGCAUACGACCUACGGGUGAAAGCAGGGGAUCUUCGGACCUUGCGCGAUUGAAUGAGCCGAUGUCGGAUUAGCUAGUUGGCGGGGUAAAGGCCCACCAAGGCGACGAUCCGUAGCUGGUCUGAGAGGAUGAUCAGCCACACUGGAACUGAGACACGGUCCAGACUCCUACGGGAGGCAGCAGUGGGGAAUAUUGGACAAUGGGCGCAAGCCUGAUCCAGCCAUACCGCGUGGGUGAAGAAGGCCUUCGGGUUGUAAAGCCCUUUUGUUGGGAUAGAAAAGCAGCAGGUUAAUACCCCGCUGUUCUGACGGUACCCAAAGAAUAAGCACCGGCUAACUUCGUG